rnacentral:rRNA from 1 species
GACGAACGCUGGCGGCGUGCUUAACACAUGCAAGUCGAACGAGCGGCGGACGGGUGAGUAAUGUCUGGGAAACUGCCUGAUGGAGGGGGAUAACUACUGGAAACGGUAGCUAAUACCGCAUACCCACAGAUGUGCCCAGAUGGGAUUAGCUAGUAGGUGGGGUAACGGCUCACCUAGGCGACGAUCCCUAGCUGGUCUGAGAGGAUGACCAGCCACACUGGAACUGAGACACGGUCCAGACUCCUACGGGAGGCAGCAGUGGGGAAUAUUGCACAAUGGGCGCAAGCCUGAUGCAGCCAUGCCGCGUGUGUGAAGAAGGUCUUCGGAUUGUAAAGCACUUUAAGUUGGGAGGCGUUACCAACAGAAUAAGCACCGGCUAACUUCGUGCCAGCAGCCGCGGUAAUAC